AUCGCUUCUUGGCCUUUUGGCUAAGAUCAAGUGUAAAAAUGUGACAGUAUUUAUUACAUAGUAUCUUAUGUAAAAUAUUUACUUAGUUUAAAUUUUCACAGCUAUCUCAU
rnacentral:snRNA from 1 species